rnacentral:rRNA from 1 species
AACGAACGCUGGCGGCAUGCCUAACACAUGCAAGUCGAACGAGACCUUCGGGUCUAGUGGCGCACGGGUGCGUAACGCGUGGGAAUCUGCCCUUGGGUUCGGAAUAACAGUUGGAAACGACUGCUAAUACCGGAUGAUGACGUAAGUCCAAAGAUUUAUCGCCCAAGGAUGAGCCCGCGUAGGAUUAGCUAGUUGGUGAGGUAAAGGCUCACCAAGGCGACGAUCCUUAGCUGGUCUGAGAGGAUGAUCAGCCACACUGGGACUGAGACACGGCCCAGACCCCUACGGGAGGCAGCAGUGGGGAAUUUUGGACAAUGGGCGAAAGCCUGAUCCAGCAAUGCCGGGUGAGCGAUGAAGGCCUUAGGGUUGUAAAGCUCUUUUACCCGGGAUGAUAAUGACAGUCCCGGGAGAAAAAGCCCCGGUUAACUCCGU